GGUUAUGGCUCAGUGGUAUGGUGCUUGCCUCGCACGCAUGAGGCACUGGGUUCGAUUCUCAGCACCA
rnacentral:tRNA from 1 species